UGUAUAAUGGGUCAGCGACUUACUGUUCGUGGCAAGCUUAACCGUAUAGGGGAGGCGAAGGGAAACCGAGUCUGAUAAGGGCGCAUAGUCGCGGGCAGUAGACCCGAAACCGGGUGAUCUAGUCAUGCCCAGGGUGAAGGUGCGGUAACACGCACUGGAGGCCCGAACCCACUCCCGUUGCAAAGGUAGGGGAUGAGGUGUGAUUAGGAGUGAAAAGCUAAUCGAACCCGGAGAUAGCUGGUUCUCCUCGAAAGCUAUUUAGGUAGCGCCUCAUAUGUAUCCUCUCGGGGGUAGAGCACUGUUAUGGCUAGGGGGUCAUCGCGACUUACCAAACCAUUGCAAACUCCGAAUACCGAGACGGACUGUAUGGGAGACACACGGCGGGUGCUAACGUCCGUCGUGAAAAGGGAAACAACCCAGACCCACAGCUAAGGUCCCAAAUUUUGUGCUAAGUGGAAAACCAUGUGGAAAGGCACAGACAGCCAGGAGGUUGGCUUAGAAGCAGCCACCCUUUAAAGAAAGCGUAAUAGCUCACUGGUCGAGUCGGUCUGCGGGGAAGAUUUAACGGGGCUAAGCACAGAACCGAAGCUUGGGGUGCAUACUUUGUAUGCGCGGUAGAGGAGCGUUCCGUAAGCCGUUGAAGGUGGAUUGAGAAGUCUGCUGGAGGUAUCGGAAGUGCGAAUGCUGACAUGAGUAACGAUAAUGCGGGUGAAAAACCCGCACGCCGAAAGCCCAAGGUUUCCUUGCGCAACGUUAAUCGGCGCAGGGUGAGUCGGCCCCUAAGGCGAGGACGAAAGUCGUAGUCGAUGGGAAGCAGGUUAAUAUUCCUGCACCUCGCGUAAGUGCGAUGGAGGGACGGAGAAGGUUAGGUGUACCAGGCGUUGGUUGUCCUGGGGAAAGGCGGUAGGUUUGGAUCUUUGGCAAAUCCGGGAUCCUUCAAGACCGAGCACCGAGACGAGCCUUUAAGGCGAAGUCACUGAUACCACGCUUCCAGGAAAAGCUCCUAAGCUUCAGCUUACGCAGACCGUACCGUAAACCGACACAGGUGGGUAGGAUGAGAAUUCUCAGGCGCUUGAGAGAACUCGGGUGAAGGAACUAGGCAACAUGGCACCGUAACUUCGGGAGAAGGUGCACCCUUUUUGGUGGCUCGUGCGAGCUAUAGCUGAAGAGGGUCGCAGUAACCAGGCCGCUGCGACUGUUUAUCAAAAACACAGCACUCUGCAAA
rnacentral:rRNA from 1 species